rfam:Bacteroidetes bacterium GWF2_49_14 gwf2_scaffold_1673, whole genome shotgun sequence.
AAGAGCCGUAUGACGGGAGACUGUCACGUACGGUUCUGCGAGAGGCUGGGGGUGAAACUCCCCCGGCCUACUCGAC